UUGGCAAAAAUAUGGCUUUGCAUUGGUUAAAACAAAGAACUCACAGGUUUUUGGAAAAGUUUGUUGUCUCUUUGUCUCUGGUAGAUGACACACUCAAAUCUUUCUUUGUAAACUCAAUGUUAGUUCCCGUCCUUCUGGUGCCUGGCUGAGAAGGGCAGUGCCUUUGCCUAGUCUGCAGAGUCAGCACUGUUUCAAGUCAUCGAAUGGAAUGUCUAUUUGCCUAUGUAUUUCCUGCUCUUCAUGUGAGGUUUUAUGUAAGGCAUGUUUACAUUUUUUGCUCAUGUUUAUUGAGUUAAUUUUCUCAACAUUUAGCAUUAAGAGAUGGGAGGUGUCCCUUGUUAGUAAAAUACUUGGUAUGCAAACAUGAAGGCCUUGGUUUGGAUCCCAAGCACAUACUUAAAAGGUAGAUGCUACAGUGAACAUCUACCCUCCCAACUUUAGGGGAGAGAGCCAUGUGCUUAUGAGAGUUCACCGGCCAGCCAGCGCAGUCAAUCAGUGAACCUCAGGCUCAGUGAGAAACUGUCUCAAAAUGUAAGGCGGAGAGAGGUAAGGAAAGACACUCAGUGUUGACAUUUGGCCUCUUUAUACACACACUCCAUCAACAGCCACCACCCAACACAUGGAAUUGAGUCUGAAGAGAUUUUAUCCAGUCUGGAUACAAGAGAUUUAUGAUUUUUUUCAGAUUAUACAUUUGAAUGGUAUAUAAUCUUUUGGUGAAAUUAAUUUUGCUGAAUUCUAACUUAUCCCUUUUAAGUUAUACUUUUCACACACCCUAUUUAAUAAAACUUGCCUACCUUGGUGCAAACUUUUCUGUCACUUUCUCUUAAAAAUUAUGAAGUUUUAGUAUAUAUACUUAAAUCUAUCAAUGUCUUUGGGCUUGACUUUUUAAUGAAUAUCCUUUUAUAAAAAAGACUUAUUUCUCCAGUGAUUUGGGGAGACAUAGUUGCUCAAGAAACAACAGCCAAUAUACACAAGGAAUAUAUGUUUCUGUAAUCUGUACUGCUCUAUUAAUCUAUAUUUCUAUUCUCAUAGGAAGACCACCUGUCCCGACUCUGGAGCUUUCUAGUAUCUGAGACUACUCCACUUUUGAUGCUCAAAGGAAGCAUUUUGUCUCUAUUUUCAGCUUCCCUUUAAAAUGGUAAAUAGCUUGUCAGUUUAUAUCUAAAGAAGGGUCUGGCUUUGAUUUGAAUUCUUGAUUUGGGAUUAUUGUACAUUUGAGAAGACCACAGAGACUACUCCCAGCGGACUCCUGUGCUGUUCACACACACUCCCACCAUCUUAGAACCUCACCAACUGCAGAGCAGGAGUGACUGAAAUAAAAAAUAUAAUUGAGUACCAUCAUUAUUGUCAUUACGGAAUUGGCUUUAAGAGAAAACUGGUCAGACGAGUAUUGUUGCUUCCCACUUUUCAACUGGAAAAUAGUUGCCACUGAUAAAACAGACAAGCCCAGAGAAUCUGUCCAGAAUGUUCAAGAUAUGGUAUGUUGUACAACAUGCCUGUUAAGGGGAGAACACCUAGGACAUAAUUAUGUGUACUUCUUGAUCUCAUUGUACAAGACAAGCACAAAGGCACCACCCAUGCCGCUGAGAACGUUGGACCACGCAACCUUGAAAAAAGCCUUGCUUCCUUCAUCGCGAGCGAUCUUCUACCAGCAGUCAAGCGUGCCUAUGUACAUGAUAUCAGUUCCUUUGCGUCCAGACUGCAUCAUCAUACUACGGCGAACCUUGUCAAAAGGAUAGGAAGUCAGGCCAGCAACAGCAGUGACAGACUGUGCGAUCAUCCAGCUGACAAAGAUAUGGAGGACUGGAAGUGAGGUCAUCCGGCUGGGUAGCAGGUGCCUUUACCCACUGACCAUCUCAUGGGCCAUACCCGAAUUCCAAAUGUGGUCCAGUCUCUAUGUGCAUUCCACUGUUUCCUUACUCUCAGAUCUCCUUGAUUUUUCCUACCGUAAACUCAUUGAGCUCCAUGGGGAAUAGGCGACUCAUCAGUGUGUCUGGGAAGUUUUGAGGUUUUUCCCUUUCCUUUUCUUCUAAACCAGACUUCCUGGAAAUUGUUUGGGGAAUCAAUCCAGAGGCUGAGUUUCACCCGAAGGCUCAUGCCCUAUGGAUUGUCAUCCUUCAAGACCCAGUUCAGUGCCCUUCAGAGCUUACUUUGGUUGAAGAAAUGGUGUGUCUCUGCUCUCCUGUGUGUGAACCAGAAGCCACAUGCAGCUAUUGAGAACUUGCAAUGGGACUGAUAUGACCAAGGAGUUGGGUUUUAUGGAAUUGCUAUCCACUUCCAGUUACACUUAUGUGCAGGUGAUUAGAGGCUGUUGAAUAGGACUGCAAAACCAUGGUCCUCAAGGAAGUGUAAUUUUUUCAAGUAAGUCUCAUGUACUUAGACCAGCAUGAGUGUUCCUGCCAUGGAAUAGGUGAGUUGCCAUAUAAUGCCAUAUUUUAUAACCUCUAUUUUCUUUUGAACUCUUAA